rnacentral:rRNA from 1 species
UACGGGGGAAGCAAGCGUUGUUCGGAUUUACUGGGCGUAAAGGGCGCGUAGGCGGUAGCACAAGUCAGUUGUGAAAUCUCCGGGCUUAACUCGGAAAGGUCAACUGAUACUGUGCGACUAGAGUGCAGAAGGGGCAACUGGAAUUCUCGGUGUAGCGGUGAAAUGCGUAGAUAUCGAGAGGAACACCUGCGGCGAAGGCGGGUUGCUGGGCUGACACUGACGCUGAGGCGCGAAAGCGUGGGGAGCGAACAGG